UUUGUCAUCUUAACACUAAAUUCAACAAAGUCGGUGAUAUGGUGGCGUGUGCGGGUGCCACAUUCGGUGUGCAAGCCCCAUGAUACCUAAUGGCCAGGUUAUGUCAUCAAACAGUGAAGAUAACAAGAGUGAAAGCCGCAAAACUUCAAACUACAUCUUGAUUUGAUCGUCAUUUCGACAAGGACUCGCUCAUUCCACUUGAAUGCCUCGCGUUUGUGCUCGGCUCUGAAAGCUCUGCCUCAUUCGUUCCUCUCAAAUCAGUGAUCGGCUGAAUAUUUAAUGGUGACACAACGCCUCGUUGCAUCCUAACAAAGCUGUGGGACUGUUAAUUAGAGUGAGUGCUCAGGCUGUGCGACGCAGCCAGCCAGCCAGCAAGCCAGCAAGCCACCUACCAGACACUCGGCUCUCAUCCAAACACAUCUUUCACACACUGCCACCACAGUGUAAUAAUAACUAAGUCAGGUUGUACAUUAAAGUUUUCAUACUGAAUGUAGUGAGUAAAUAUUAGUCAGAAUAAUAGUGACAGGUUACAUACAUAUGAUACCAUUUAAGCUAACCUUUGCAUACACUAGUGUUUGCAUAUUACAUGGAGUAUGCUACUGGAGAUCAACCUGCAAACUACAGCAUUCUAGCUAACACUAAGUCAAUGUUAGUGAACAUGCUAGCGAUAGCUCAAGUAUGCAUGGCAGCAAUAAAGCUGUGUUAGCUGAGUUUAGUGUGUACACUGCUAUUUACAUUCUGGAAGGAAUGAGUCAGUAUGAUAGUCAUAUUUCUCAAGCUAAUAGCAUUAUAGCUAAUUUUGAUAUACAGGCUGCAGUUUGUCUAACGAAUGGAGAAAGACAAUGUUAGUCAACAUGCUAGUAAUAGCACACAUGCCAUUUAUAGCAGUGUAGCUGACCUUAGCAUUUUAGCUAAUUUUAACAUAUUAAUGCUUGCACACUAAAUGGAGUAACUCAGCGACAGCCCACAAGCUAUGAACAACAUGUUACCUAACUUUAGCAUUUUAGCUAAUUCUGCAUAUUUUCAGGAGAUGCAACAAACACAAAUAAAAACUAUCUGUUAUUUUAAGCUGCUUAGGCUGUGACACUUAAACCUGAAGUUCGCAAAACCUUUCUCAGCAUCAGAACCCCUGAUUCAGAUCUGACAGACACUUUUACUGGGUCUCUUUUAAAUUUCUUCAGAAAUUUCAAGUUUCUUCCUAAAAUUCUGUUUCAGUCAACGUAGAAGUACCUAGAAGUGGUAGCUCCCCACAAACAGCAUUUAAAGGUUGAGCCCCACCAGGUUUGUUCCCUGUACGUCUUCAUCUGAGAAAAAAACAACAACCAUCAAGAGACUUUGGGCCAUCUUUCCAACCUCAAUUUUUUUUUUUUACUAAAUCUGUAGACCUCAAAUGUGUCCUUAACCUCCAAUUCUUUGUAGCACACUCCAGACAAACAGAAAGCAACUCAAAAUCAAAGGCUUGACAACAAAAACAAAAUGUAAAAAGUCCACAAAGAGACAGAGCUGCAUCAAAUGACUAACAAGGAAAGUAAGUAGAUACCUUUUGAAGGCUUUUUUAACAGGAUUAAAGUGGAAAAAACAAGAAAAUUAGAACUGGAUUUACUCAAAGGAUCAUUGAUUAUCUGCCUUAUGUGAUGUCAUCAGAUGAGUAUGAAAACAUGGAAGCUUGUUUACAAUGAAAUAACUAAAGAAUUAGCAACGAUAACAAUGAGAUGUUGUCUGUGGGUGACAAACCCACAUCUGAAGUGAGUCUGAUUUUACAAAACAAAACAACAACAAAAAAAACUCUUGGCACACAGCUUUAAAUAUUAUAUAUAGAAUAUAGAAUAUUGACAGCACUGUUUAUGUUAAAGUGAAGUGGGAAAAAGAAAGCAGCCUAACGAUUCCAGAGGAAGAUUGGGACCACGUCUGUAAGAUACCAUGGACAACAACAAGAUCGAAGGUUUGGCGUAAAUUUUGCUGGAAAAGCAUUAUAAGAUUUUUCAUAACCCCAGAGCAGAAACGAUAUCAGGGAAGGGGCGAUAGCUGCUGGAGGUGUGGCAGGUGCGGUGCCAAUCAUUUCCAUAUUUUCUGGGACUGUCAAACCAUCCAGCAAUAUUGGUCUCAAAUCCAUGAACAUUUUACAGAACAUUUUCGCAUUGAAUUUUCCUUUAACCUUUUGAAUCCAUAUUUUUAUGUCACAUACAGGUCUACAAACUGAACCAUAAUGAUCAAAAACUCCUGUACAUUUUGCUGGCGGGGAGCAAAAAGGCCCUUAAACGGGAACCUCCAACAACUGAGGACUGGAUUAACGUAGAGAAAGAGAAUUAUUGUGCAGAGGGACACUUUCUACAGGAUAUGGUCAAGGUGGACAGAAUAUGUCAAACACUUUUUGUAAACCUUGCUAUCAUUCAGAUUGAUGUUUUGAUUUGAUAUGUGAUGUCAAUGAUUGUUGGUACUCCGGCUCCCAUUUAAGCUCUGGUUGGUUUUUGUUGGUUUUGCUUUGUCUUUUUGUUGUUGUUUCGUUUUGUUUAUUUUAUUUUUUUCUCUCAAGGAAAAAAGUGUGAGAACUGAGAAAGAGUGUAAAAAUGAGAACAAAAUCAAUAUAAUUAUAUCACUAUAAUGUAAUGUGCUUUCUCAAUAAAAAUUUUAAUAUA